CAUCUGCGUAUGUAGAUUAUAGCUCACAGAAUAAUGUACAUUCAUGACCAUUCAGUACAUACAUACGUAGAUUUUCAAUCAAUUUAUUUCAAUAAACAAAAACAAGUAGCAUAACUAAAGAAUAUAAAUAUUCUUCGUGUAAAUAAAAGUAAGUUGCCAUUAUAUAUCCGGAGUAGCAUAUAGUCGCAGACUCAAACACGGUGAAAUUUUAUCAUAAAGACAAUAACUUGCGAUGAUCAAGACAUUUCAAAUAUACAUAGAAAAGGUUAAGUUGGCUGUACAAGUGAAAACACUAUAGAAAACAUCAUUAGCAUAUUUAUCAUAGAUAAUAAAUAGAUUGGAUAGAAAAUAAAAUUAUUAUUAAUAAUUUAAUUUUAAAUACUUAUAUUUUAUUUUUA